CCAGCCUGGUGUAACUCAACCUCCGGUACAGUUAUUUUCAGCUUAUUUUCUUGUGAACAUUAAGGCUCAGCAGAGAUAGACUCGGCCUCCGUGGCCUUGACAUACUGUGAAGAGGAAAAGAGAAAAGUGGGUGUCUGAAUGCAAAAGAAGACAGAAAGCUCCUUUCACAGAUAAAUAGAAGAGGAAUUCUGCAGGGCGCCAUGUUGGAAGAACGAUGGGAAAUAAAAGAAAGCAAAAGAAAUACCCGUAUGACUACGUCUCCCAUACAACUGUAAACUGAUGUGAAAGGCACAUAAAAGCAUUUAAAGGUAUAGGGGCCCACUCCAGUUUUCAUCCUGGUGACCCUAAGCACAAGUGGGUAUGCUUCCUUCAGAGAUCACCCUUCCUUUUUGACUGACUGGAAAGGCAACUGUUGAAGUCAGAACAACGACUGAUUGGUUCCCAUGUGAAGGGCUUUAUCUCAUUGUAGCACAAUGCUGCCUGUCUUUUGUCCAGAGCUUGGAUACAUUACUUUGUUGGAUGACCUCAUAGCUGUCAGUGUGACUGUGCUGGCUGGAGGGUU